rnacentral:lncRNA from 1 species
UCAUGGGGCUGAUCAUGUCCGUAGUUAACAAAAACUGAGGGAAGAUUUUUUUAAAUCUUAUCGUUAUGCAUGAUAUAUUUUGAAAAUCAAAAUUAUGUUAGUUUAUAUAUCUAUUAUUAUAAAUUACUAUUAUUUAGAAAAGUAUUUAUCAAUAUGCUUGAUCUUUCAGAGAUAUUGAUAACUUACUGAGUCCGCAAAGUUC